rnacentral:rRNA from 1 species
UUUACGGAGAGUUUGAUCCUGGCUCAGGACGAACGCUGGCGGCGUGCUUAACACAUGCAAGUCGAACGAUGAACCUGGAGCUUGCUCUAGGGAAUUAGUGGCGAACGGGUGAGUAACACGUGAGUAACCUGCCCUUGACUCUGGGAUAACCUCCGGAAACGGAAGCUAAUACCGGAUACGACGUACGGAGGCAUCUCCUGUACGUGGAAAGAACUUCGGUCAAGGAUGGACUCGCGGCCUAUCAGGUAGUUGGUGAGGUAACGGCCCACCAAGCCUACGACGGGUAGCCGGCCUGAGAGGGUGACCGGCCACACUGGGACUGAGACACGGCCCAGACUCCUACGGGAGGCAGCAGUGGGGAAUAUUGCACAAUGGGCGCAAGCCUGAUGCAGCAACGCCGCGUGAGGGAUGACGGCCUUCGGGUUGUAAACCUCUUUUAGUAGGGAAGAAGCGAAAGUGACGGUACCUGCAGAAAAAGCACCGGCUAACUACGUGCCAGCAGCCGCGGUAAUACGUAGGGUGCGAGCGUUGUCCGGAAU